rnacentral:rRNA from 1 species
UACGGAGGGGACAAGUGUUAUUCGUCUUGAUGGGUGUAAAAUGCGUGUAGAUGGGUUUUUAACUUGCCGCUAGAAAGCCAAUUUUUUUAAAGGUGUGCGUAAGUAUAUCAAUCUUGAGUACUUAUAAAUGGACAGUAUUUUAAAUGUAAAGGUAAAAUUUUUCAAAAUAUAAGAGACUAGCAAUUCGGUGAAAACAGCAAUAAGAAGUAUACUAACAUUGAAACGCUAAAGCUUGGUCGCAAAUAGG